GAUGAACGCUGGCGGCGUGCCUAAUACAUGCAAGUCGAGCGAACAGACGAGGAGCUUGCUCCUCUGACGUUAGCGGCGGACGGGUGAGUAACACGUGGAUAACCUACCUAUAAGACUGGGAUAACUUCGGGAAACCGGAGCUAAUACCGGAUAAUAUAUUGAACCGCAUGAUUCAAUAGUGAAAGACGGUUUUGCUGUCACUUAUAGAUGGAUCCGCGCCGCAUUAGCUAGUUGGUAAGGUAACGGCUUACCAAGGCGACGAUGCGUAGCCGACCUGAGAGGGUGAUCGGCCACACUGGAACUGAGACACGGUCCAGACUCCUACGGGAGGCAGCAGUAGGGAAUCUUCCGCAAUGGGCGAAAGCUUGACGGAGCAACGCCGCGUGAGUGAUGAAGGUCUUCGGAUCGUAAAACUCUGUUAUUAGGGAAGAACAAAUGUGUAAGUAACUAUGCACGUCUUGACGGUACCUAAUCAGAAAGCCACGGCUAACUACGUG
rnacentral:rRNA from 1 species